rnacentral:rRNA from 1 species
GGUGUGAAACCUCCAGGCUCAACCUGGAGCCGCCAUUCGAUACUGCCAUGGCUAGAGUUUGGUAGGGGACCACGGAACUCCUGGUGUAGCGGUGAAAUGCGCAGAUAUCAGGAAGAACACCAGCGGCGAAGGCGGUGGUCUGGGCCAAUACUGACGCUGAGGAGCGAAAGCGUGGGGAGCGAACAGGAUUAGAUACCCUGGUAGUCCACGCCGUAAACGUUGGGCACUAGGUGUGGGGACCUAUCGACGGUUUCUGUGCCGCAGCUAACGCAUUAAGUGCCCCGCCUGGGGAGUACGGCCGCAAGGCUAAAACUCAAAGGAA